rnacentral:rRNA from 1 species
UUCCUUCGGGACUGAUUAUUUUGUGACUGAGUGGCGGACGGGUGAGUAGCGCGUGGGUAACCUGCCUUGUACAGGGGGAUAACAGUUGGAAACGGCUGCUAAUACCGCAUAAGCGCACAGUAUCGCAUGAUGCAGUGUGAAAAACUCCGGUGGUAUAAGAUGGACCCGCGUUGGAUUAGCUAGUUGGUGAGGUAACGGCCCACCAAGGCGACGAUCCAUAGCCGACCUGAGAGGGUGACCGGCCACAUUGGGACUGAGACACGGCCCAAACUCCUACGGGAGGCAGCAGUGGGGAAUAUUGCACAAUGGGCGAAAGCCUGAUGCAGCGACGCCGCGUGAGCGAAGAAGUAUUUCGGUAUGUAAAGCUCUAUCAGCAGGGAAGAUAAUGACGGUACCUGACUAAGAAGCACCGGCUAAAUACGUGCCAGCAGCCGCGGUAAUACGUAUGGUGCAAGCGUUAUCCGGAUUUACUGGGUGUAAAGGGAGCGCAGGCGGUGCGGCAAGUCUGAUGUGAAAGCCCGGGGCUCAACCCCGGUACUGCAUUGGAAACUGUCGUACUAGAGUGUCGGAGGGGUAAGCGGAUUCCUAGUGUAGCGGUGAAUGCGUAGAUAUUAGGAGGACACCAGUGGCGAAGGCGGCUU